AGAAAAAGAAGAACAUUACUUUUUUCUGAACAUAGAAACACCUCACCAUUUUUACAGCUUACCUUUGACACACAAAACUCAUACACUGAUGGAGGGAGAAUAACCCAUCACAUGCUUUCCUGUGGGCCAUUCAAGAGCAUGCACCCAAAGCCUUAUUAGAGUUCAUGCCCUCAGACCUAGCAAUUCUUCCAAGACUGCUGUUAAUUAGAGUAUUAUUUGUAAUGGAGAAAAGUUGGCAACAACAUGCAUGUCCCAUGGCUGAUAUCAAUUGUUAUAUGAUGGACUACUAUGCAGCCAUUACUAUAAAUCAUGUUUUGAAAUAAUUAUUGACCUGAAAAAAUGCCCACAAUAUAACACUAAGUGAUAAAGUAAUAUAUAAAACCUUCUAUAUGGCAUGACUCCAAUUUUAUAAAAUACAUACUAAGGUGCUUACAUAUACAUCAAAUGUUAAUAGUUGUUACUUCUGGUGGGAUUAUGGGAAAUUUUUAUUUCCUAUUUUAUACUUUACUGUAUUUUCAAAUAAGCAGGUAUCUUUUAUUAUCAGAAGAAAAUUAUUCUAUUUAUGAAAGAAAAAAAUAAGGCUAGGCAAGCAAAUAAUUCUUCUCUUUUUGGGGGGUAGGGAGGUGACUUAAACAACAGAAAUUUAUUUCUCACGGUGCUGGAGGCUAGAAGUGCAAGAUCAAGGAGCCGACAGUUUUAUUUUCCUCCGAGGGCUUUGUGCUUGGCUGCCCUCUUGCUGCCUUGUGACCACCCUCUGUGCACACAGGCUCCUGGUGUCUCAAUAAUUAUUUUCCAGAAUCUGUGUGAUGUAGGGGUCAUUUUUUUUCUUUUAUUUUUUCUUUUUUGUUGUUGUUGUUGAUGUAGGGGUCUUUAUGAAGACUCUGAUGGAAUAUUCUCUCCCCUGCAGAUACCUGCCCCUUCAGCCGUAAGGCAUAAAAGAAAAGUGCUAAAAGUAAAGAAGGGAGAGAUUUUCUAGGAACUCGGGGCUCUAGGUUCUUUGCUGAGUGGACACAUUUGGCUGUUUGUAUUGCCCGUAGGUGGGUGGUCUGUUGGGGCAGGAUAGAAGAACCAGUGAGCUGCUGCUGGCUUCUAAAUCUGGGGGCUGUACAUUUGUGUGUGUUUUAAGUCAGAAAGGGUAGUUAUUUUAUUAGAUCAUCAAGCUCCCUCAACUACUUCUUUGCGAAUUCAUGAGAUCUUGCCCUUAUCUCAGAAUGAUGUCUCUAUCCCCAUUACACACACACACACACACACACACACACACACACACACACACACGCUACAAGGCUCAAAGCCCUUUCUCCUAAAUUUCUUUCUCUGCUUAUUACUGAGUUGGUGUUAACCAGGUGGUCUUGUUGGUUUUCUUGGAUUGGACUGUUUGCCUGGGUUGAGAGGGCUCUUGGAAGGAAGAGCCCAAAUCUGGAUAACUUUCUUGGGACCAUACCCAGCACUGGACCAUCCAAAGUCUACGCUGCUCCUUCCGUCGCUCAGUUGUGUGUCAAAUACUGACUUUAUAUCAGGCCCUGAGCAUGUAAAGAUAAACUAGAUAGAGUCUGGGGCAGCGGAGAAUUGGGAGGUGGUGGUGGUAGUAGAUUUAGAAAUAAAUAAUUACCUUACAGUGUGAUGAUUUAGAGGUGUAUAUGGAACAGAGAAUGACUAAUUCUGUCCAAGAGGAGGAAAGAGAGAAACAGGUUGUAGAAGGAAGAUUGGGAGUUCACGGGAGGAUUUGCAGGCAGAGGAAACAGCAAGUGCAAAGGCAACAAUGUUCAGGGAUGAAAGGUGGGGUGGGGUGGGGUGGCCGGGAAGUAAGGAGAGGAGGAGCAGGAAAUGCUGCCGGAAAGGCAGGUUGGGGCCAGAUUUGGAAGGUUCUACUUUUCUUUUUUUAAUUGAUUUUAGAGAGAGAGGAAGGAAGAGACAGACAGAGAGACACAGAUUUGUUGUUCCGCUUAUUUAUGCAUUCAUUGAUUCCUGUGUAUGCCCUGACCAGGGAUGAAACCCACAACAUUGGUGUAUAGGGACGAUGCUCUAACCAUCAUUACUACCCAGCCAUUGCUGGUUCUACUUUUCUUAGAAGCAACAAGGACUCAAGAGAUGUUAUAAGGAAGACUGACAACUUAAUUUGAGCAUGUUUCCAGGUGUUGGAAAGUUGUUCUCUGUUCCAUACACACUUCUAAAUUAUCACACUGCUCCCUGCCUCUAUGGGCGGGUCCUGGUGCCCUGAUUCACUUCCAAUGUAGUUAUUGCAAUAAUAGUAGUAAUGAUAAAAUAAUUUGGGCUGGUCACUUCAGGUUUUAUACAUGCUCUUUAAUUUCAACUUUCAAUAAAGUAUGAAUUGCCUUGAACUCAAUUAUUCAAUCUUAGCCCAUUUUCUAUCAAAUAAGAUAUAACUUCUAAAUAUGAUCUGAUUUCAUGAAUAAUGAUUUUUUUUGUUGUAUAAAUUUUCAGUCACAAAAGUAGGAGGGAAUAGUGCAAUAAUCCUCUCUGUAUCUAUCAAGCAGUUUGACAGCUGUCAAUUCACAGCAGUCUUGUUUCGUCUAUACAGGCGGUCACCAACCUUUCGGACCUCACUGACCACCAGUGGUCCACGAACCACCGAUUGGCAACCGCUGGUCUAUACCACACUCGUUCCUCCUUGCCACUGCGCACUGGAUUGCUUUGAAGCAAAUUCCAAAUGUUAUAUAAUUUCAUCUGUAAAUACUUCAGUAUAUAUCUUUGUAAUUAUUUUUAAGUUCUUUUUAUUGAAUCAGGAUCUAAAAGAGACCACACUUUGCAUUUGGUUGAUAGGUUUUAAGUUUCUUUCACUCAUAACGGUUCCUCUUGCUACUUACUAAUUGAAAAAGCCAGGUUAUUUGUUCUGAAGAAUUCCCCACUUCCAGAAUUUGACAGAUUGCACUUUUCCCCUGUAAUAUGUUCUUCUACCCCAUGAAUUUCCUAUUAACUGUGUGUUACAUCUAGGGCCUUGAUCAGAUUCAGGUUUACUUUUGAAGUGAUGCAAUGUUUUUGCUAUUAUAACAUAUCGAGAGGCACAUAAUUUUUAGUUGUAUCUCUAAUUUCCUACAUGAUUUUUUUAAAUUGCAGUAUAAUUUAUAUAACAUAAAAUUCUCCAUUUUAAAGUGUAUAAUUCAAUAGUUUUGACUAUAUGUACAAUGUUAUACAAUUAUAGCCACUGAUUUCAGAACAUUUCCAUCAUCCCCAAAGGAAACCCCCUCCCUGUUAACAGUCACCCUCCAUGCCAUCCCUACUCCCAGCACCUGGCAAUCAGUAAUCUACUGUCUGUCUCUAUAGAUAUGGAUUUGCCUAUUAUGGGCAUUUUAUAUAAGUGGAAUAACAGAAUAUGUAGCUUUUUGUAUCUGACUAUUCACUUACAGUAAGCAUAAUGUUUUUAAGGUUCAUCUAUAUUAUAGCAUGCAUCAUGUCUUUCUUUUUUUUUUUUUUUGCUGAAUAAUAUUCCACUGUAUGGAUAUACCACAUUUUGCUUACCCAUUCAUCAGUUGAUGGACAUUUGGAUUGUUUUCAUUUUUGGUUAUUAUGAAUAAUACUGCUGCUAUGAACAUUACUGACAGGUUUCUAUGUGAACAUAUGUUUUCAAUUCUCUUAAGUGGUCUCUCUUUUUAUGUUAAAGUUGAUUGGUGGGUUCAAGUAUUAUUGGUAUUUUAAAGUUCCCCUCAAUCUUUCACCCAGUGGUUUUAGAAAUCCCCAAUGAUUGCUGAUCCUUAUCUAAAUCCAUUAUCUCAUUAGAGGUUACCAAAUGGUGAUUUUGUAAUUCUACCAUUCUAUUUGCAUUUAUUAGCCAGAAUUUGUCUAUAAAGAAUAGACACUAAAUCAUAGUUGUAAAAAAAGAAAGGAUAAAUACGUGACUGCUUUCUUUUGUUUCUCAAAUAAUGAUAUUUUGUACUUUCCUGUAUGGAACCCUAAUAAGUUCUGGGUCUCUAUAUGGUUAAAGUGCUACAUGAAGUUGCAAAUAAAGAAUUAUGAUCCUGGAA